UACGUAGGUGGCAAGCGUUGUCCGGAUUUACUGGGCGUAAAGGGCGUGCAGGCGGUCUGUUAAGUCUAGGGUGAAAGCUCCCGGCUCAACUGGGAGAGGUCCUUGGAUACUGGCGGACUUGAGGGAGGCAGAGGAAAGUGGAAUUCCUGGUGUAGCGGUGGAAUGCGCAGAUAUCAGGAGGAACACCGAUGGCGAAGGCAGAUCUCUGGGCCGUAACUGACGCUGAGGAGCGAAAGCAUGGGGAGCGAACAGG
rnacentral:rRNA from 1 species